UCAUAUAGCUCUGUCGGUAGUGCAUGAGACUCCUAAUAUUGGGGUCGUGGGUUCGAGCCCCAUGUUGGGUGAA